rnacentral:rRNA from 1 species
CGAGACCUCAGGUCAGGCGGGGUUACCC